ACUUUUACAAUUGAUAAUUGAUUGAUGACUGAACUCUGAAGUGAUGUCGUGGAACUCUUGCUUUGCCUUUGGUCUUUUGGACAAAAUUUCUUCUUUUAAAUACACUCAUUUGUUAUUCGCUGUACAGUUUCGAUUUCUGUCCUUUGACAUCGUGUAUACAAUAAAUACACAAAUGAAGAAAGAUGAAGUUCCGACAGAGGAUGAGCUGGUUGUUCAUAGUCUUAUUCCUAGGUCUCAGCUGUCUACUAUGGUACUUCAUCUUUGAGCUCAGUGACCAGUACAAUACCCUGGCCCUAGACCACGUCCAGACCUACUCCGACACCCUCCGCCUCAACCCCCAUCAACUCACAUGGUACAUGUCCGUCACCAGGCGACUGGUCGCGCUUCCAUUCUGGUUCUGGGCGCUUGUCUUCGGGAUCCCCUACCUGCAGGUCUUCUGUAUCUUGAUAGCGUGCACGAGGAGUGACCCACUUAGCGCCACCAUCAUGGUGGUACCCGUCUUCCUAUGCAUGAAGCUGACUAAUCUCGGUAGCAAAUCGGAGAGAACAGAGUAUUUGUCGGACGAGGAUAUACCCCACUUGCAAACGACAUGACGUCUAAUGUGCAGCUGAUGUACAUUGUGCUCCAGGAGUGAAGAAAUUUCUAUUUAUUGACCUAGAUGGUGCAAAGUGAAAUAUCGUUUCCUGUGGAUCAUUGUAAUGCCAGGAGUGGCAAAAUGGUGCAGAAUUCAACUCUGAACAUGGUAUUUUUCAUGAAUCAGAAGGGUGAAUGGAGACAUUUAGUCUAGUCUUUCUUUCACUUUGAUGUAGAACAUUUGCAUGUUAUCACAGUUAUAUUGUGCUGCACUCAACCCAGGUGAGGUGAAUGGGUAACUGGCAGGAAUUUAUUCCUUGAAAUGCCGAGCGCGUAAAAGCUGCUUGAGCUACAGCCAGGGUAAUGAUGUCCAAGUUCUUUGGAAGCGCAUAGAGACGUUAUUCAUAAUGUGUUAUGCGCUAUACAAGAACUGACUAUUAUUAUUAUCACUUUACGUGAUCUACACACUAUUGAAUGAACAAUACAUUUGUAUUUCAUCUCUCACUGGAGAAUAUAUAUUGAGAAAUCUCUUAUUCUAACAUUGUUUCUCUAAGUUUAAUGCCGGGGGGGGGGGCCACUUCCAUUCACGAGUGGAUACCAUGCGCGACCAUGGGGUCUCGAAAAGCACCCUAAAAACGUAAUUUCCAUAUUCUGAAAAUGCACCCCUUAACAAGUAUUGGCGUGUGAAACCCUACCCUUAACAAGUAUUGGAAACAAAACGAUCCUCUUGGCAAAUAUUCCCUGAAAUGAACCCCUAAACAAGUACAGGAAUGUUUUUAUUUCGCGGGUCCUUCGGUCGUCGGCUUUACCUUAUUUGGGACCUUUCGCAGUCCUCACGGACGCUAAUAUUAGGGUCCCCUAACACAAAAGUUCACGCUUAAUCAUACACUUGAUUUUUAAGAUUGAUUGUGCAUUAUAGUCAAUAGAAUCAAACGUAGAAAACUGCUCUACAAUCAAUGCUAAGCUUUGUGUUACAGGGGGGUUACAGGCCCUACAGAUCUGCUUUUCGUGUGCAAAAUCCUUUUCCGCGACACCCACCAUACAUGCAUGUAUAUUACGACUGGUGGCUGGAGAUAUUCGAAAUGCAGGACCUAAAAUAGAUUAUGACAUGGAUAAGAAAGUGGUUUUUCAAACUUAUUGAGUGAGGAAAAACUUACUGAAUGAAGGCUUAGAUAUAGAUCAUUACAGUCCAUCGAAUCGAUAUUACAUUUAAUGUGGAUUAUUGGUGGAUCACUGGCAAUUGAUUUCAUGGGUCAGAUCAACCUCUCCAGCCGAAAAUUUCGCACGCGUUGAUAUGUGCACAGCAUAUGCAAUACGUUUGAACUCGUUUCUUUUGUUUCUUUGUUUCUUUUGUUUCUUUUGUUUACUCCUUCUACACAAACGAUAUGCCUCUCGCACACGAUGUAAUGGGCAUUAUGUUUUACUUUCCCCAGAAAUGGGGGAUUAGAUUCAAAUUCCGGGGGAACCACUUCCAUUGAUGAGUGGAUACCAGGCACGACCAUGAGGUUUCGAAAAAUACCCUAAACAAGGGAAGCAAUUCUUUUCCAGAUUAUGAAAAUGCAUCUCUUAACAAGUAUUUGGCUUGUGAAGUAUUGGAUAUAUAUCCCUUUUUUUCAGCAUUUUAAACAUCGUUUUGACACCCUUAUUACGUUACAUAGGCCUAUAAGUAACGUACCUGCCCACUCUGUCCCCUUUAACGCGUGUUCGCUCCUGGUAUCCACUAAUCAAUGGAAGUGGGCCCCCCGGGCGGCCUCUCGAGCUCUAGGAGGAGUCAAAUGUGGCUUUGGAAAGUCGUCCUCAAUCGGAUAUAUCGCUGUUACUAUAGUAGCAACCAGAAUUUUGCACACGAAACGCAUAUUGAAUGUUUCCGUCGCAGAUGCGAAACGAAAAAAAUAAUCUCAUGUCACACAAUUUGCAUUGCAGGACAGAGUUUACGACCAUGAUGACGGGCCCAAAAAGUCUCUUCCAAAAUCAACUACCGUCUUAAAUAAGCGUGCGCGUCCUCAAACGAAAGGUCGGGAUUUGGUUUAGUACGACCCCAACUUCUUCUUCUUCUUCAAGCUACACUGCCUCCUUCAAUCCUGAAGAUUCUUGCAGUAUUGUAGUACCGGGGACCGGCAGGUGCAAUACACCGGGUGAACACCCUACUCUUUGACGAAUAGUGUAUUGGUUUUAACGAGCAUAGGUUGUGACUCUCCUAUACACGGGACCAACAUUUGCGUCCUUUCCGAUGGACGGAGUGUUUUCCAACUGCAUUCAAACCCGCACUGAACACAGCGGUGAGGCACGUUAACACACUACGCUAGCAUCAGUUUUUUUUGUUAGACGUCUUCCGGCAUGCUGCGGGACUCGAACCCACGCACGUUGAGAUCUACGAUCUUUUCCGGAACAGGCGCUCUAACCGACUGAGCUACACUGCCCCGCCCCUUCUACUUCUACACCUCGCGCAAAUCGGACUCUAAACACGAAGUGUUGGGGGCAAAAAGGACAUCCUUUAUAAAACAUUUUAAUUUUGUUUUAUCAUCCCCGCAAAUUCGACCCUAUAAACACGUAAUUUUCCUCGCGAAAUAGAUACCCUUUUUUCAUUAUUUUUGUGUUUUUGACACCCUUAUCACGUUACGUACGUAACGUGCCCUAUCGUGAAAAAGACAUCCUUUUUACGUGUUUUUUUGGUCGCGCAUGGUAUCCACUCGUCAAUGUAAGUGGCCCCCCCGGGGUUUAAUGUUAUGAUAUCUGCAAUUACAUCUAAGCUCGUUAUUGCCGAGUAUCAUGCUUUGAACUGAACAUACAUGUAAACAAUUACAAUUGCAUACUGUGUUACGGAGGGCUCAACUGAUAGACAACUGCUUAAAUUACAUAUGUACAUUAAUAAGGGGAUGUUUCAUGUACUAUACUAUAUCCAUAUUUUAUUGAGAUUGUGCAAUGAUAUCAGUUUCAGUGACUCAUGAAUGGUAAAUAUGCACAACUGUUCAAUGUGAAAGACGCAAUUAUUUGAAAACAAGUGUAUGUACAUGUAUAGUUUUAGUACUUUUUAUACAUGCAAGCAGCAUAUACCUGUACAGUAUUUUAUUAUUGUUUGCCUAGAGAAUGAUAGAGUGUAAGUCACAAUUCUUCCAUAAUUUAUCAUGAUUUUCAAGCAAUCAAUUGACAUGCACAUUAAGUCAGCCUUGAAUGUAAAAUCAACAUUAGUUAUGAUAAUAGAUCAUUUAACACUUAUUUAUUAAAAGGUAAAAGAAAGUAGUUGCAACAAAAAAUGAUUUCACGAGAAAGUAUUUUAAAUCAAAGUGAAUUGUCACCAUAUUAUCAUACAUGUAGAUCUAGAUUUGAUACAUUAAUGUAAACUUUUCUUCCAUGAAAUCUUAGCUCAAAACCGAUAAUUCUGAUGAUCACUAACUCAGAAAAGCAUAUGUGGGACAAUGUAUUAAUAUUGCUUUGAAAAGUACCUGACAUUUGAUGGAAAUCCGUGCUUACUUUUUUUGGCUAAUUUCUCAGCAAUUACACAUCUUUUUCCAGUGUCAUUUAUCAUAUAUUUUUUUAUUUAUACAUAUACAUACACUUAGGUGGUAUUUUUAUUGGAUUCUGUUCUAACUCAUUUUGACCUUGUUAGCACUACUGGCAUUUAUCUUUAAAAAAAAAAGUUGCCUUCACUACAUGUACAUAUUUCAGGACAGUAUAAAUGUACAAUGGUUAAUAUUUGGGAUGCAUAUUUGGAAUGAUUUUAUCAUCCAUCACCAAAAGUGAAUGGUAUGCUAGGAAUGAAACAUAAUAUACUAUAGCAAAACAACAAAACUAUUCAAUCUUCUGCCGAAUUUAUUUUGAAGUAUUAAAGUAAGUUGGCAAUUUGAAUUUUGAAUAAAUGUCACGAGUUGGAAUGGAAUGGCUUUUAACAUUUGCUCUUGAAAAAUGUACCAUGACAUUCAAUUUCCCCCAAGUGCCUUUCUGAAUUUAUGCUGAUUAUUUGACCCAAAGUCAUGAUUGAGAGAUUCUAGGAAACAAAAAUCCUUAUUUUCAUGUUCAAAUUGUGCAUGCUUGCAUGCAUAUAUUUACAUUUGGCAAAUAUUUAAUACAAUCACAAAUUAAAGGAAGUGAAAAUAUGUAGCAUAUUUGCACAAGGAUAAUCAAGUUUUGAGAAACAUUAGGUCUGAAAUAGAUAAAGUUAACUCACAUGAAUAAAAAAGAAAGAUACUCUGAGAGUAGUACUUGAAAUUUCGCAAAGUCAAUCACUGAUAAACAGAUUUUAAGAUACACAUGAAAAAACCCUAAAAAUGAAGUUAUUUUGUUUCUUAUUUUUCUUUGCACUGAAAUUAUUUCACUGCCACUGUAGAUACCACCCCAAAGUACGUGUGACAGGUGUAACAAAAAAUAUUUUGAUAGACAUUUCAGACUUUUUCUGAGAAUGUGUUGUUAAUAAAAGAUUUUGUAUCAUGUACUGCAUGCACUUUGUCUCAAACAAAUAGUGUUACAUUGGUUGAUGAUAGUUGGGAGAUUAAAUCUGUCUUGGAUAAAGACUCAUUAAUAUGUAAAAUAUACAUUUGGACAAUUCAUGAUAACUAAUGUUAGAUUUAAGCAAUUUUUGAUAUGUUUUUAUACAACUUAUUUGAUGUUUUACAUCAAGUUAUAAGAAUUUACCUUAGCCCCCAAAAAAGGUAGAGAUUUAGGUUGAACUUUGCAGUUAUUCAUUCUACUGCCACUCGAUACUCAUGAAUGUUUAUGUACAUGUAACACCGCACAACAAGAACAUAACUCUACAUACAAAGUAAUUGUAAUAUGUAGGUUGUAAAUGUGUACUAGUAGGCCUAUAUAUAUUUAAAAAACAAGAAUGUGGUACGUGGAAACAGGUAAUAAAGUAAGUACAACUUGUGAUGAUUCCUUUAUAUAUCGGUAUUAAGAACAAAAAAUUGAUAAUUACGUGAAUUAGCUUUUUUCUUCAAUGUCUUGUUUUUCAAAACAUGUAGUACAUGUAGUUUUAAUAGACCACAAGAAGGACAAUCUUUAGUUGAGGAAGGCUUUUGGAUAUCCACCCCAUCCGAGGAAAAUUAAUUUCCAAGAAAAGCAAUAAGUACAAAAUCAAUAGUAAGCAUAUUUCUAUUAUCUACUUAACCAAUCUCAAAGUUAUGAAUAUAUGCAUAAUGCGUAGCUUCCAUCUGAACAAAAAAUAUUAUUACUAUGAUGUAUUAGAAAUUAAUUGACAUGUACAACGAAAAUGAAUAAAUAUCAUUCCAUACUGUGA